CCUACGGGCGGCUGCAGUGGGGAAUAUUGCACAAUGGGCGCAAGCCUGAUGCAGCCAUGCCGCGUGUAUGAAGAAGGCCUUCGGGUUGUAAAGUACUUUCAGUCGUGAGGAAGGUGUUAAGGUUAAUAACCUUAGCAAUUGACGUUAGCGACAGAAGAAGCACCGGCUAACUCCGUGCCAGCAGCCGCGGUAAUACGGAGGGUGCGAGCGUUAAUCGGAAUUACUGGGCGUAAAGGGCACGCAGGCGGUUGCUUAAGUUGGAUCUGAAAUCCCCAGGCUUAACCUGUGAAUGGCAUACAGGACUGGUUAGCUAGAGUCUUGUAGAGGGAGGUAAAAUUCCAUGUGUAGCGGUGAAAUGCGUAGAGAUGUGGAGGAAUACCGGUGGCGAAGGCGGCCCCCUCGACAAAGACUGACGCUCAUGUGCGAAAGCGUGGGGAGCAAACAGGAUUAGAUACCACUGUAGUC
rnacentral:rRNA from 1 species